GCAACUCGCCUGCAUGAAGUCGGAAUUGCUAGUAAUCGCAGAUCAGCAUGCUGCGGUGAAUACGUUCCCGGGCCUUGUACACACCGCCCGUCACACCAUGGGAGUCGGUAACACCCGAAGUCGGUAGCCUAACCGUAAGGAGGGCGCCGCCGAAGGUGGGAUUGAUGACUGGGGCUAAGUCGUAACAAGGUACC
rnacentral:rRNA from 1 species